rnacentral:rRNA from 1 species
AGUCGAACGAACUCUGGUAUUGAUUGGUGCUUGCAUCAUGAUUUACAUUUGAGUGAGUGGCGAAGUGGUGAGUAACACGUGGGAAACCUGCCCAGAAGCGGGGGAUAACACCUGGAAACAGAUGCUAAUACCGCAAAACAACUUGGACCGCAGGGUCCGAGUUUGAAAGAUGGCUUCGGCUAUCACUUUUGGAUGGUCCCGCGGCGUAUUAGCUAGAUGGUGGGGUAACGGCUCACCAUGGCAAUGAUACGUAGCCGACCUGAGAGGGUAAUCGGCCACAUUGGGACUGAGACACGGCCCAAACUCCUACGGGAGGCAGCAGUAGGGAAUCUUCCACAAUGGACGAAAGUCUGAUGGAGCAACGCCCCGUGAGUGAAGAAGGGUUUCGGCUCGUAAAACUCUGUUGUUAAAGAAGAACAUAUCUGAGAGUAACUGUUCAGGUAUUGACGGUAUUUAACCAGAAAGCCACGGCUAACUACGUGCCAGCAGCCGCGGUAAUACGUAGGUGGCAAGCGUUGUCCGGAUUUAUUGGGCGUAAAGCGAGCGCAGGCGGUUUUUUAAGUCUGAUGUGAAAGCCUUCGGCUCAACCGAAGAAGUGCAUCGGAGACUGGGAGACUUGAGUGCAGAAGAGGACAGUGGAACUCCAUGUGUAGCGGUGAAAUGCGUAGAUAUAUGGAAGAACACCAGUGGCGAAGGCGGCUGUCUGGUCUGUAACUGACGCUGAGGCUCGAAAGUAUGGGUAGCAAACAGGAUUAGAUACCCUGGUAGUCCAUACCGUAGACGAUGAAUGCUAAGUGUUGGAGGGUUUCCGCCCUUCAGUGCUGCAGCUAACGCAUUAAGCAUUCCGCCUGGGGAGUACGGCCGCAAGGCUGAAACUCAAAGGAAUUGACGGGGGCCCGCACAAGCGGUGGAGCAUGUGGUUUAAUUCGAAGCUACGCGAAGAACCUUACCAGGUCUUGACAUACUAUGCAAAUCUAAGAGAUUAGACGUUCCCUUCGGGGACAUGGAUACAGGUGGUGCAUGGUUGUCGUCAGCUCGUGUCGUGAGAUGUUGGGUUAAGUCCCGCAACGA